rnacentral:hammerhead_ribozyme from 1 species
UCCAGUUGAUGAGUCCUAAAUAGGACGAAACGCGCGUCCUCGAA